UCCCUGGUGGUCCAGUGGCUAAGACUCUGGGCUCCCACUGCAGGGGGCCUGGGUUCAAUUCCUGGUCUGGGAA
rfam:TPA: Bos taurus chromosome 4, whole genome shotgun sequence.